UUGGUCCCGACCACCACAACUCUGUUGGAUCGAUCUCUUCUUCGUAUCAGUGAUCGUCUCCGGUGAUUGAAGGGUGCAGAGAGGAUGCGAUGUGCUUAUUUUAGAUACUGGAUUGGGAAGUGCAGAGAAUCAAGCAAGGGUCAAGGAGUUGCUUCAUGUGGAGGAAUCAAAACUAGAGGAGGAUGAGGGAAAUACCACUCCAGCAGUGAGAUGGGUUCA